AAGAGUGAAGUAUAUAAUAUACAUUUCAUUUACACUGAAAAGAACCUUAAGUUAGGCAUUCUUA
rnacentral:tRNA from 1 species